UAGGGAAUCUUCCACAAUGGACGCAAGCCUGAUGGAGCAACGCCGCGUGAGUGAAGAAGGUCUUCGGAUCGUAAACUCUGUUGUUAGAGAAGAACACGAGUGAGAGUAACUGUUCAUUCGAUGACGGUAUCUAACCAGCAAGUCACGGCUAACUACGUGCCAA
rnacentral:rRNA from 1 species